ensembl:snoRNA
UAGCCUUUGCUCACCUCAAAUAAAGUUCACCAUCUGGCAUCAUUGGUUUCCUUGGCUUUCUGUACGUUAAACCUGGUCUUUCUAACCAUACAGUG